UGUUAAAAAAUUUAUUUAUUUCUAUUAUUGAAAACUGGCAUGACUGGUAAAAUAAUUAAAUAAUGAUGUAUACAGAGACUAAUUUUUAAUGGUAGAAAUGGAUAAUUUUUUUAACA
rnacentral:pre_miRNA from 1 species